rnacentral:rRNA from 1 species
UACGAAGGGGACUAGCGUUGUUCGGAAUUACUGGGCGUAAAGCGCACGUAGGCGGCUUGGCAAGUCGGAUGUGAAAUCCCUCGGCUCAACCAAGGAAGUGCAUCCGAAACUGCUGAGCUUGAGUACUUAAGAGGAUCGCGGAAUUCCCGGUGUAGAGGUGAAAUUCGUAGAUAUCGGGAGGAACACCAGUGGCGAAGGCGGCGAUCUGGGAAGAUACUGACGCUGAGGUGCGAAAGCGUGGGGAGCAAACAGG